rnacentral:rRNA from 1 species
ACCUGCUGCUGGAUCAUUACUCACCG